UACGUAGGGGGCAAGCGUUGUCCGGAUUUAUUGGGCGUAAAGAGCGUGUAGGCGGCUAUGCAGGUCCGCUGUGAAAACUCGAGGCUCAACCUCGAGACGUCGGUGGAAACCGCAUGGCUAGAGUCCGGAAGAGGAGAGUGGAAUUCCCGGUGUAGCGGUGAAAUGCGCAGAUAUCGGGAAGAACACCCGUGGCGAAGGCGGCUCUCUGGGACGGUACUGACGCUGAGACGCGAAAGCGUGGGGAGCGAACGGG
rnacentral:rRNA from 1 species